rnacentral:rRNA from 1 species
UACGGGGGGGGCAAGCGUUGUUCGGAAUUACUGGGCGUAAAGGGUCUGUAGGUGGCCAACUAAGUCAGACGUGAAAUCCCUCAGCUUAACUGGGGAACUGCGUCUGAUACUGGUUGGCUUGAGUGCAGGAGAGGAAUGCGGAAUUCCAGGUGUAGCGGUGAAAUGCGUAGAUAUCUGGAGGAACACCGGUGGCGAAGGCGGCAUCCUGGACCGACACUGACGCUGAGGAGCGAAAGCCAGGGGAGCAAACGGG